AAGUAUUUAGUCCUAUUCUUGAUUGGCAACACCCAGCACUAAUACAUAUCCUUAUGUAUGCAAAAUUAAUCUUAAUUGAGGCUCAAGCACUAGCUCAUCAUCUGCCUUGCCUCUUCACAUCUAUUUCUUGUCAUCCGGUGCCUCUUUAUUUAUUUCCCUCUUAACCAAUCUAAGCCAGCAUUAGCAAUCCAUUGUGAUCUUUGAGAAAAACUGUUGACAUUGGUGGAUGCUGAGCUAAAUCUAAAUUCCUGUCCGAUCUUCUAAAUAAUAUUUGGAAACUGAGAUGCCUGGACUGAUCCACCUAUUCAAUUGUUU
rnacentral:misc_RNA from 1 species